rnacentral:rRNA from 1 species
UACGUAGGGUGCAGGCGUUAAUCGGAAUUACUGGGCGUAAAGCGUGCGCAGGCGGUUUCUUAAGUCAGAUGUGAAAGCCCCGGGCUUAACCUGGGAACUGCGUUUGAAACUGGGAGACUUGAGUGUGGCAGAGGGGGGUGGAAUUCCACGUGUAGCAGUGAAAUGCGUAGAUAUCUGGAGGAACACCGGUGGCGAAGGCGGCAUCCUGGACCAAUACUGACGCUGAGGAGCGAAAGCCAGGGGAGCAAACGGG